CCGGAGCGCCGGUAGCCCCCGGUAGCCCCUCGCACCAAUAACCCCGGACAGCGCGAGGCUUCCAGCAAACAGAGACAGAGAAAGGAGAGGACAGAGAAAUAUUGCCAGGAUCAGCUGCAGGGCAUGCAGAUCACAUGCGGCCGGGCCUCAGACUACCAGGGACUCCGGUCAGACGGGGUGGCCAGGACUUCCCCCUCUUCGUUCACAUUUAUACACCGUUAGUGUUCACACCUGUCCAGACACUUGUGAGUAGUUUGUAGUUCUGUUAGGUGACUGUGAACAGCUUGACUGGCAGCUGUGUUAACCGCAGAGAGGAUACUGCAUCGUAACUCCAGGUAUCACGACUUCCUCUCAGACUCAGUUACUUUUUAUUUUUACCAUCUUGUCUUUUUGAGCUCACAAUUGACUUUUUGACUCACAAUGCGGACUGUUUGUUUCCGAAUUGACUUUUUGUUUCCGACAUAUGACUUUUUAACCCAUAUUUCUGACUUUUUAAUCCAUAACUCUGACUUUUUAAAACAUCUCCUUAUGACUCUCUAUCACAUAACGAUGACUUAAUUGAGCACAUAAGUAUGAAUCACCAUGGGUUUUAAAAAAAAAUAAUAAUCAGGGCUGGGAUGUCAUCUGUUUUUUUGUUUGUUUUUUUAUUUAUCUUUUAUUAAACUCUUGGGGAUGGGCUUCCAUAGAAGUGGCAAGAGAAUUAUACAUUAUUUCAAAGUUGACCUAAUUCCAUCUUCAUGACUUUUUAGUGCACAACAUAUCCUAUAGGCAUAGAUCACAAGUUCUUCUGCGUGUCCUGUUCUUCCCUGUUCUCCCUCUCAUCAGAUUUAUUAAGUGACGCUCGGGUCAUGUUGGGUGAACCAUUAUAAAUGGAUAAUUCGUUUUACAGAGGAUGCUUUGGCAAUUAUUUCACAGUGUUCCCUCUCAGUAUCUAUUAGUGUGCUUUCAGAGGCUAAGAUUUGUGAAUGGAUAUAAUUGUCUUUCUAACUCGUCUGCAUCCUUGUUUGACUCCUUGUCUCUGUGUCUCACCUGCCCGAUCCCUCUCCUGCUCCUCCUGGCCGCUCCGAGGGUGUCAGCUGCCUUGGCUGUGACCUCACCAUGGUGACGCGUAAUCCAGAUUAACCUGCUCUCUUAUUCCGCCAGACAUGGAAGUGAUUAGAGAUUAUGACCGUGUCCUUUUAAUAGAAUUUGGACGUGUGGGUAAUCAACUGCGUCCGCCAGCGUCGCGUGUCAGAUGUUCCCCUUGAGCGUCCUACAACUCCUUCAGUUCAGCUGCUCAGUGGCCGAUCACACAGAUCAUACAGUGGUUGUACUGAGCGGCCACCAGCCAGGGGUGAAAGUGUGCAAGAGUGUAAGCAAUGUUACAGCGUGUUCCUGUCAGCUGUGUUGCUCUCGGUGGAAUUAAGUGACGUCAUGCCUGUGUUGCUGAUGGAAUCUCCUGUUUGGUGGAAAGAGCCCGUCAUCGGGUCAUCGGGCCUUAGAGAGUGACGUCACGCGCACGUCUUACUCCAGCAGCUUUACUAUACACACUGGGGACAUGGUCUUUUUCUUUCCAGCGCUCAUGACGCACUCUGGCAUAAUGAAGCCGUUAAGAGGAGUCCGGUACAGAGGCUGAGACCAAGAGGAGGACAGGGGCGAGAGGGACAGAGUGAUGUGGCAGGAGCCUGAGUUUGCCACGAACACUGGAAGCCUGUGGGAAAGCAGAGCCAUAGCAACAGAAUGAAUUAAUGAACAGGAUCCGAAUGCUACGUUUAACA